rnacentral:rRNA from 1 species
GAUGAACGCUAGCUACAGGCUUAACACAUGCAAGUCGAGGGGCAGCAUGAACUUAGCUUGCUAAGGUUGAUGGCGACCGGCGCACGGGUGAGUAACACGUAACCAACCUGCCGAUGACUCGGGGAUAGCCGUUCGAAAGAAAGAUUAAUACCCGUUGGCAUAGUUCUUCCGCACGGUAGUACUAUUAAAGAAUUUCGGUCAUCGUUGGGGAUGCGUUCCAUUAGGUUGUUGGUGGGGUAACGGCCCACCAAGCCUUCGAUGGCUAGGUGAUAUGAGAGGAAGGUACACCACAUUGGAACUGAGGCACAGUCCACACUCCUACGGGGGAGAGCAGUAUGGAACAUUAGUCGAGGGAGGAGGAUCUGAACCAGCCAAGUAGCGUGAAGAAUGACUGCCCUAUGAGUUGUAAGCUUCUUUUAUACGAGAAUAAAGUGAGUCACGUGUGCCUUUUUGUAUGUACCGUAUGAAUAAGGAUCGGCUAACUCCGUG